UACGGAGGGUGCAAGCGUUAAUCGGAAUUACUGGGCGUAAAGCGUGCGCAGGCGGUUUGUUAAGUCCGUCGUGAAAUCCCCGGGCUCAACCUGGGAAUGGCGAUGGAUACUGGCGAGCUAGAGUGUGUCAGAGGAUGGUGGAAUUCCUGGUGUAGCGGUGAAAUGCGCAGAUAUCAGGAAGAACACCUAUGGCGAAGGCAGCUCUCUGGGACGGUACUGACGCUGAGACGCGAAAGCGUGGGGAGCGAACAGG
rnacentral:rRNA from 1 species